AGAGUUUGAUCCUGGCUCAGGACGAACGCUGGCGGCGUGCUUAACACAUGCAAGUCGAACGGAAAGGCCCUUCGGGGUACUCGAGUGGCGAACGGGUGAGUAACACGUGGGUGAUCUGCCCUGCACUUUGGGAUAAGCCUGGGAAACUGGGUCUAAUACCGAAUAUGACCAUGCACUUCCUGGUGUGUGGUGGAAAGCUUUUGCGGUGUGGGAUGGGCCCGCGGCCUAUCAGCUUGUUGGUGGGGUAAUGGCCUACCAAGGCGACGACGGGUAGCCGGCCUGAGAGGGUGACCGGCCACACUGGGACUGAGAUACGGCCCAGACUCCUACGGGAGGCAGCAGUGGGGAAUAUUGCACAAUGGGCGCAAGCCUGAUGCAGCGACGCCGCGUGAGGGAUGACGGCCUUCGGGUUGUAAACCUCUUUCAGCACAGACGAAGCGCAAGUGACGGUAUGUGCAGAAGAAGGACCGGCCAACUACGUGCCAGCAGCCGCGGUAAUACGUAGGGUCCGAGCGUUGUCCGGAAUUACUGGGCGUAAAGAGCUCGUAGGUGGUUUGUCGCGUUGUUCGUGAAAACUCACAGCUUAACUGUGGGCGUGCGGGCGAUACGGGCAGACUUGAGUACUGCAGGGGAGACUGUAAUUCCUGGUGUAGCGGUGGAAUGCGCAGAUAUCAGGAGGAACACCGGUGGCGAAGGCGGGUCUCUGGGCAGUAACUGACGCUGAGGAGCGAAAGCGUGGGGAGCGAACAGGAUUAGAUACCCUGGUAGUCC
rnacentral:rRNA from 1 species